rnacentral:rRNA from 1 species
GAUGAACGCUGGCGGCGUGCCUAAUACAUGCAAGUCGAGCGAACAGACGAGGAGCUUGCUCCUCUAACGUUAGCGGCGGACGGGUGAGUAACACGUGGAUAACCUACCUAUAAGACUGGGAUAACUUCGGGAAACCGGAGCUAAUACCGGAUAAUAUAUUGAACCGCAUGGUUCAAUAGUGAAACACGGUUUUGCUGUCACUUAUAGCUGGAUCCGCGCCGCAUUAGCUAGUUGGUAAGGUAACGGCUUACCAAGGCAACGAUGCGUAGCCGACCUGAGAGGGUGAUCGGCCACACUGGAACUGAGACACGGUCCAGACUCCUACGGGAGGCAGCAGUAGGGAAUCUUCCGCAAUGGGCGAAAGCCUGACGGAGCAACGCCGCGUGAGUGAUGAAGGUCUUCGGAUCGUAAAACUCUGUUAUUAGGGAAGAACAAAUGUGUAAGUAACUAUGCACGUCUUGACGGUACCUAAUCAGAAAGCCACGGCUAACUACGUG